rnacentral:rRNA from 1 species
CAGUCGAACGGACUUGAGAGAGCUUGCUCUCUCAAGUUAGUGGCGGACGGGUGAGUAACACGUGAGCAACCUGCCUUUAAGAGUGGGAUAACGGUCGGAAACGACCGCUAAUACCGCAUAAUAUACAUGAAUCGCAUGGUUUGUGUAUCAAAGAUUUAUCGCUUAAAGAUGGGCUCGCGUCUGAUUAGCUGGUUGGUGAGGUAACGGCUCACCAAGGCGACGAUCAGUAGCCGUACUGAGAGGUAGAACGGCCACAUUGGGACUGAGACACGGCCCAGACUCCUACGGGAGGCAGCAGUGGGGAAUAUUGCACAAUGGAGGAAACUCUGAUGCAGCGAUGCCGCGUGAGGGAAGAGGGUUUUCGGAUUGUAAACCUCUGUCUUAAGGGACGAUAAUGACGGUACCUUAGGAGGAAGCUCCGGCUAACUACGUGCCAGCAGCCGCGGUAAUACGUAGGGAGCGAGCGUUGUCCGGAAUUACUGGGUGCAAAGGGAGUGUAGGCGGGAUGGUAAGUUAGGUGUGAAAUGCGGAGGCUCAACCUCCGAGCUGCACUUAAAACUGCUGUUCUUGAGUGAAGUAGAGGUUGGCGGAAUUCCCAGUGUAGCGGUGAAAUGCGUAGAUAUUGGGAGGAACAUCAGUGGCGAAGGCGGCCAACUGGGCUUUUACUGACGCUGAGGCUCGAAAGCGUGGGGAGCAAACAGGAUUAGAUACCCUGGUAGUCCACGCCGUAAACGAUGAGUGCUAAGUGUUGGGGGUCGAACCUCAGUGCUGAAGUUAACGCAUUAAGCACUCCGCCUGGGGAGUACGUUCGCAAGAAUGAAACUCAAAG